rnacentral:rRNA from 1 species
CGGUCCUAAGGUAGCGAAAUUCCUUGUCGGGUAAGUUCCGACCUGCACGAAUGGCAUAACGAUGGCCACACUGUCUCCUCCCGAGACUCAGUGAAGUUGAAAUGUUUGUGAUGAUGCAAUCUACCCGCGGCUAGACGGAAAGACCCCAUGAACCUUUACUGCAGCUUUGCAUUGAACUGUGAACCGAUUUGUGUAGGAUAGGUGGGAGGCAGAGAAGAGGCCACGCCAGUGGUCUUGGAGCCGACCUUGAAAUACCACCCUGAUUUGUUUGCGGUUCUAACCACGGACAGUGAUCCUGUCUUGGGACCGUGCAUGGUAGGCAGUUUGACUGGGGCGGUCUCCUCCUAAAGGGUAACGGAGGAGUACGAAGGUACGCUAGGUACGGUCGGAAAUCGUGCUGAUAGUGCAAUGGCAAAAGCGUGCUUGACUGCGAGAGCAACAACUCGAGCAGAUGCGAAAGCAGGUCAUAGUGAUCCGGUGGCUCUGAAUGGAAGGGCCAUCGCUCAACGGAUAAAAGGUACUCUGGGGAUAACAGGCUGAUACCGCCCAAGAGUUCAUAUCGACGGCGGUGUUUGGCACCUCGAUGUCGGCUCAUCGCAUCCUGGGGCUGUAGUCGGUCCCAAGGGUAUGGCUGUUCGCCAUUUAAAGAGGUACGUGAGCUGGGUUUAAAACGUCGUGAGACAGUUUGGUCCCUAUCUGCCGUGGGCGUUGGAAGAUUGACGGGGGCUGCUCCUAGUACGAGAGGACCGGAGUGGACGCACCUCUGGUGUACCGGUUGUCACGCCAGUGGCAUUGCCGGGUAGCUAAGUGCGGAAGAGAUAACCGCUGAAAGCAUCUAAGCGGGAAACUUGCCUGAAGAUGAGUCUUCCCGGAGGUAAAACCUCCCUCAAGAGUCGUCCGAGACCAGGACGUCGAUAGGUCAGGUGUGUAAGCGCUGUGAGGCGUUGAGCUAACUGAUACUAAUUGCUCGUGAGGCUUGAUCCU